rnacentral:rRNA from 1 species
GGGUUGUGAGGUUAAGCGACUAAGCGUACACGGUGGAUGCCCUGGCAGUCAGAGGCGAUGAAGGACGUGCUAAUCUGCGAUAAGCGUCGGUAAGGUGAUAUGAACCGUUAUAACCGGCGAUUUCCGAAUGGGGAAACCCAGUGUGAUUCGUCACACUAUCAUUAACUGAAUCCAUAGGUUAAUGAGGCGAACCGGGGGAACUGAAACAUCUAAGUACCCCGAGGAAAAGAAAUCAACCGAGAUUCCCCCAGUAGCGGCGAGCGAACGGGGAGGAGCCCAGAGCCUGAAUCAGUGUGUGUGUUAGUGGAAGCGUCUGGAAAGGCGCGCGAUACAGGGUGACAGCCCCGUACACAAAAAUGCACAUGCUGUGAGCUCGAUGAGUAGGGCGGGACACGUGGUAUCCUGUCUGAAUAUGGGGGGACCAUCCUCCAAGGCUAAAUACUCCUGACUGACCGAUAGUGAACCAGUACCGUGAGGGAAAGGCGAAAAGAACCCCGGCGAGGGGAGUGAAAAAGAACCUGAAACCGUGUACGUACAAGCAGUGGGAGCACGCUUAGGCGUGUGACUGCGUACCUUUUGUAUAAUGGGUCAGCGACUUAUAUUCUGUAGCAAGGUUAACCGAAUAGGGGAGCCGAAGGGAAACCGAGUCUUAACUGGGCGUUAAGUUGCAGGGUAUAGACCCGAAACCCGGUGAUCUAGCCAUGGGCAGGUUGAAGGUUGGGUAACACUAACUGGAGGACCGAACCGACUAAUGUUGAAAAAUUAGCGGAUGACUUGUGGCUGGGGGUGAAAGGCCAAUCAAACCGGGAGAUAGCUGGUUCUCCCCGAAAGCUAUUUAGGUAGCGCCUCGUGAAUUCAUCUCCGGGGGUAGAGCACUGUUUCGGCAAGGGGGUCAUCCCGACUUACCAACCCGAUGCAAACUGCGAAUACCGGAGAAUGUUAUCACGGGAGACACACGGCGGGUGCUAACGUCCGUCGUGAAGAGGGAAACAACCCAGACCGCCAGCUAAGGUCCCAAAGUCAUGGUUAAGUGGGAAACGAUGUGGGAAGGCCCAGACAGCCAGGAUGUUGGCUUAGAAGCAGCCAUCAUUUAAAGAAAGCGUAAUAGCUCACUGGUCGAGUCGGCCUGCGCGGAAGAUGUAACGGGGCUAAACCAUGCACCGAAGCUGCGGCAGCGACGCUGAUGCGUUGUUGGGUAGGGGAGCGUUCUGUAAGCCUGCGAAGGUGUGCUGUGAGGCAUGCUGGAGGUAUCAGAAGUGCGAAUGCUGACAUAAGUAACGAUAAAGCGGGUGAAAAGCCCGCUCGCCGGAAGACCAAGGGUUCCUGUCCAACGUUAAUCGGGGCAGGGUGAGUCGACCCCUAAGGCGAGGCCGAAAGGCGUAGUCGAUGGGAAACAGGUUAAUAUUCCUGUACUUGGUGUUACUGCGAAGGGGGGACGGAGAAGGCUAUGUUGGCCGGGCGACGGUUGUCCCGGUUUAAGCGUGUAGGCUGGUUUUCCAGGCAAAUCCGGAAAAUCAAGGCUGAGGCGUGAUGACGAGGCACUACGGUGCUGAAGCAACAAAUGCCCUGCUUCCAGGAAAAGCCUCUAAGCAUCAGGUAACAUCAAAUCGUACCCCAAACCGACACAGGUGGUCAGGUAGAGAAUACCAAGGCGCUUGAGAGAACUCGGGUGAAGGAACUAGGCAAAAUGGUGCCGUAACUUCGGGAGAAGGCACGCUGAUAUGUAGGUGAAGCGACUUGCUCGUGGAGCUGAAAUCAGUCGAAGAUACCAGCUGGCUGCAACUGUUUAUUAAAAACACAGCACUGUGCAAACACGAAAGUGGACGUAUACGGUGUGACGCCUGCCCGGUGCCGGAAGGUUAAUUGAUGGGGUUAGCGCAAGCGAAGCUCUUGAUCGAAGCCCCGGUAAACGGCGGCCGUAACUAUAACGGUCCUAAGGUAGCGAAAUUCCUUGUCGGGUAAGUUCCGACCUGCACGAAUGGCGUAAUGAUGGCCAGGCUGUCUCCACCCGAGACUCAGUGAAAUUGAACUCGCUGUGAAGAUGCAGUGUACCCGCGGCAAGACGGAAAGACCCCGUGAACCUUUACUAUAGCUUGACACUGAACAUUGAGCCUUGAUGUGUAGGAUAGGUGGGAGGCUUUGAAGUGUGGACGCCAGUCUGCAUGGAGCCGACCUUGAAAUACCACCCUUUAAUGUUUGAUGUUCUAACGUGGACCCGUAAUCCGGGUUGCGGACAGUGUCUGGUGGGUAGUUUGACUGGGGCGGUCUCCUCCUAAAGAGUAACGGAGGAGCACGAAGGUUGGCUAAUCCUGGUCGGACAUCAGGAGGUUAGUGCAAUGGCAUAAGCCAGCUUGACUGCGAGCGUGACGGCGCGAGCAGGUGCGAAAGCAGGUCAUAGUGAUCCGGUGGUUCUGAAUGGAAGGGCCAUCGCUCAACGGAUAAAAGGUACUCCGGGGAUAACAGGCUGAUACCGCCCAAGAGUUCAUAUCGACGGCGGUGUUUGGCACCUCGAUGUCGGCUCAUCACAUCCUGGGGCUGAAGUAGGUCCCAAGGGUAUGGCUGUUCGCCAUUUAAAGUGGUACGCGAGCUGGGUUUAGAACGUCGUGAGACAGUUCGGUCCCUAUCUGCCGUGGGCGCUGGAGAACUGAGGGGGGCUGCUCCUAGUACGAGAGGACCGGAGUGGACGCAUCACUGGUGUUCGGGUUGUCAUGCCAAUGGCACUGCCCGGUAGCUAAAUGCGGAAGAGAUAAGUGCUGAAAGCAUCUAAGCACGAAACUUGCCCCGAGAUGAGUUCUCCCUGACUCCUUGAGAGUCCUGAAGGAACGUUGAAGACGACGACGUUGAUAGGCCGGGUGUGUAAGCGCAGCGAUGCGUUGAGCUAACCGGUACUAAUGAACCGUGAGGCUUAACCUUACAACGCCGAAGGUGUUU